rnacentral:misc_RNA from 1 species
GAAAUGCGAUAAGUAGUGUGAAUUACAGAAUUCAGUGAAUCAUCGAAUCUUUGAACGCACAUUGCGCCCCUCGGUAUUCCGUGGGGCAUGCCUGUUCGAGCGUCAUCUACACCCUCAAGCUCUGCUUGGUGUUGGGCGUCUGUCCCGCCUCCGCGCGCGGACUCGCCCCAAAUGCAUUGGCAGCGGUUCCUUGCCCCCCUCUUUGCGCAGCACAUUGCCAUUCGAGGCGGCGGCGGCCCGCGUCCAACAAGCUCAACCCCCCCGUCUUUGACCUCGGAUCAGGUAGGGAUACCCGCUGAACUUAAGC